GAACUUUUCAUCUUGAACUUCUUCUUUUUCUUCCUCGGCAAGCCCUCUUCGGAGAAAGUUCAGAUCUGAUUGUAGUAUUGAUUGUAUCUUCUGUCUUCUGGAGUCAGAAAUCCUCCUCACGGGUUCGUGUCGGUCAUGUGACACACUUCUGGUCAUGUGCCUUCAAACCAGGAAGUGGAUGUUCCUGCCUGCUUGCGCUCACCUGUUGAACUCCAGGCUCCGUCUGCAGACAUCAACUGAAGAUGUUUCGACCUUCACACAUCGGACCAAAAAGUUACGAGACAGGAGAGCCGAGCCGGAGGAGGAAGAGGAGCGUGAGAGCACAAGAACGGACGUCCAGACUUAUUCUGAAGGGACUUUUAAAGGAAACGGCUUCGACAUUGAAAAGAACAGUAAGUGUGGAGUCACGGGGCACCCUCGCACGUCUUCAAGGUCUUUGACGGAUGUCAUUCACACCCACACCUACACAAACACACACACACACACUUACAAACGGUCCGUAAAUGUCAAGGAGAGGCUCCUGACAUCUAACACUCGUCCAUUUCCUGCUCCUGACAGGAAGUUCAACAGCUCAACGAGACAAAAGAAACCAAAAACGCCCUGUUUGUCAUGUUUUUCUGAGCCCAUCAGGCCUCAGCAACAUCAUUACUGUCCGUGUUUGUGUGUUGUGCAGUGUGGGAGCUGUAACUCUGUCCUGUCUCACAGUUUCGUCCCAACAAAACAAUGCCCGUCUUUGUUCGGCCUGGUGUUGCUCGACUUCUAUUGUUUAGUUUUUGCUGGUUGUGUAUUUGUGUAUGUGUGUGUUGUGUGUGUGUGUGUGUGUGUGGCCUUUUCUCACACUCGCUCACGCACAGUGAGAUUUUACUGA
rnacentral:lncRNA from 1 species